CCCUUAGAUGUCCUGGGCCGCACGCGCGCUACACUGAGUGUCUGAGAUACGAGUCUGCCUGGUCCGGCAAGGUCUAGGUAAUCGCUAAAAGACACAUCAUGCUUGGGAUAGAUUAUUGCAAAUAUUAAUCUCGAACGAGGAAUUCCUAGUAAGCGCAAGUCAACAGCUUGCGUUGAUUACGUCCCUGCCCUUUGUACACACCGCCCGUCGCUACUACUGAUUGGAUGUUUAAGCGAGGUUCUCGAACUGCUAGCGACUUAGCUUCGGUGAGGUCGCAGUGUGGGAAGUGAACCUAGCUUUGGUGUCUAGAGGAAGUAAAAGUCGUAACA
rnacentral:rRNA from 1 species